rnacentral:rRNA from 1 species
UACAGAGGAGCCAAGCGUUGUCCGGAUUGACUGGGCGUAAAGCGCACGCAGGCGGUCGCGCGCGUGGGGUGUGAAAUCUGGCCGCUUAACGGCCAGGCGCCAUCCCAUACGGCGCGACUCGAGCCAUGCAGAGGGCGGUGGAAUUGCCGGUGUAGUGGUGAAAUGCGUAGAGAUCCGGAAGAACACCGGUGGCGAAGGCGGCCUGCUGGGCAGUGGC